CCCCGGGCGCACCACCGGCCC
rnacentral:miRNA from 1 species